ACCUUGGUCCCCCAACCAGAAGACCCUGGGGGUCUUUGCACUGGCCUUUCCUGGGCUCCUCAGCCAAUUCACCUUGUGCUGAGAACAUCCACCCACCACAGAGGACCAGCAAUGAGGAAGAGACUGAGCAGCCUACACAGGCUCAGGGCCAG